UACGUAGGGUGCAAGCGUUGUCCGGAAUUAUUGGGCGUAAAGAGCUCGUAGGCGGUUUGUCGCGUCUGCUGUGAAAACUCAGGGCUUAACCUUGAGCCUGCAGUGGGUACGGGCAGACUAGAGUGUGGUAGGGGAGAUCGGAAUUCCUGGUGUAGCGGUGGAAUGCGCAGAUAUCAGGAGGAACACCGGUGGCGAAGGCGGAUCUCUGGGCCAUAACUGACGCUGAGGAGCGAAAGCAUGGGGAGCGAACAGG
rnacentral:rRNA from 1 species